AGUGAACGCUGGCGGUAGGCCUAACACAUGCAAGUCGAACGGCAGCACAGUAAGAGCUUGCUCUUACGGGUGGCGAGUGGCGGACGGGUGAGGAAUACAUCGGAAUCUACUUUUUCGUGGGGGAUAACGGAGGGAAACUUACGCUAAUACCGCAUACGACCUACGGGUGAAAGCAGGGGAUCUUCGGACCUUGCGCGAUUGAAUGAGCCGAUGUCGGAUUAGCUAGUUGGCGGGGUAAAGGCCCACCAAGGCGACGAUCCGUAGCUGGUCUGAGAGGAUGAUCAGCCACACUGGAACUGAGACCCGGUCCAGACUCCUACGGGAGGCAGCAGUGGGGAAUAUUGGACAAUGGGCGCAAGCCUGAUCCAGCCAUACCGCGUGGGUGAAGAAGGCCUUCGGGUUGUAAAGCCCUUUUGUUGGGAAAGAAAAGCAGCAGGUUAAUACCCCGCUGUUCUGACGGUACCCAAAGAAUAAGCACCGGCUAACUUCGUG
rnacentral:rRNA from 1 species